AGAGGACCAUGCAAAGAAGAAGAGGACCAUACAGAUGAAGAGGAGACCAUUGUAUCCACUUAAUCAACAAACCAACAUUGCCCAAAAUGAAUAAUUGUUAGACAAGCUUCAAUCUCAUGAUUAGAGAACACAUCUAUCACUCUUUAGGAGGAGUCCAGGGAAGAGAGAUCCACUGCAGCUAGCCAUGAAAGCAAAGAAACACUAGGACAACCAGACCCUUACACUGCCGAACGUCUGGAAGAUUACAUCACCUGCCGGAAGAGUACCAAGAGCUGGACACCAGAUAGCCACACAGUAAAGAG